rnacentral:lncRNA from 1 species
UGAAGGUUGACAAGGCGGAGGCUAUAGAUGAAUUAUGUCCCAUCAGUGUGCUGAGGAAAGGCCUGUGAAUUGUUGAAAUCCUGCAGGUGUGUACCACUCCCAGUACCUCUGAGAGGGACCAAAGAUACAAAGCUUGGAGUAGAAAGCUAAGGGCAAGCAUCUGCCAUGGACACCAGGCAGCUUUAUGCAGAAAUACAGGGUCUCAUUUUUUGUUGUCUCUGCCCUCUUUAAAGUAUCCCACCUCCUCCUUUGUGUUCAGCCACUCUCCAGAACUUGUAUUUGGUUGAUUGGCCCAAUCCAAAACAGAAUGUAUAUGUUUCCAGAAUGUCAAUGCCACAGAGCUGGAAUAUUCUCCGAAUUCCCAAUAGUUUGUCACUUACAAGGUUUAUUACAGAGUAAACAUUUACUGUAAAAAAUAAGAUAA